rnacentral:lncRNA from 1 species
AUUGUCCACAAACCUCUCGAAGAAAGACACACAAUUUCCGCUCAUUCAUCUGCACGUUGGCGCACACCAAACCCUACUUCCGAGAAAACUAUUCAUCUACUUGGAUGAUGAAAAAGGAGCAGGGUUGCUGCCGAGUGUUUUAUCUCUACAUGUACAUUUGUUUGUGUCUGUACAUAUCUCUACAUGUACAUGGAGAAAUAAUAAAAUAAUAAUAAAAAAAAUGCAAAAAAAAAAGUGAUAAAAGAGAGAGAGAUUGAUGGAGGACAACUUAAUGGGAAGAAAAAAGAUACGUAGGUUAUGACACUUUUAAACUAUCAGAGAAUGACAAACAAUUGCAUCAAAUUGUUUGAUGUUCUGAAUUCCAAUUCUAAGGUUUUGGUCUUGAUUGGUGGAAAAUGACACAUGGAUAGGAUUCUUUUUUGCUGCAGUAAGAAUAAAAGUGAAACAAUUGUAUAGUGCAUAAUUGAAGAUGGAGCAAAGAUUUGCUUAGAAUUGGGAUGAUUUGUUAUUUUGAUUUACCUACUUCGACUGUUUUAAUUUUCUUUUGAUUCUAUCGUAUAAAAAGAAUGCAAAUACAAACAGCAAAAGGUUUACAAUCCUGAGGAGGCAAUGUUCAAAUGAAUUAAUUUUAUGCAUUGCAAUUCAUGGUAGACUCUGGGGCAAGUUGAUUAAAAAGAAAAUGCAAUCAGCAUUGGAAACAAAAAAUGAGAUCCAAAACUUCAAAAUUUAAUUGAAAUAAGUAUAGUAUUUAUGAAAGAUUGGAAUUUGGUCAUGAAAUAUCACAUUUCAAGCUUUUAAUCCAGAUUGAAUGUCCAUUUUAUUAUGUUUUAGCAUAUAUAUAUAUAUAUAUAUAUAUAUACACAUACACACAAGUGGUUAAACCCAUUGGUUUUGCCAAUGUGAAGUACGUUUUUGGCAUGAAAUGUUUCAAAUGAGUCAAAUGACACAUCCAGCAAUUUCUUUCUUAAAACUUUUCUAUGUUUGUUGUGCUUCAAAAAACUCAUAAGAAAGAUGCUUAGGUUAUUUGUCACCUGGAUGGCUUUGAUAGACUAUGUUAUUGUUUCUGCUCAUAAUGCAACUGACUGGUCUUUGAGUUUAUCCACCAAUCAAACUUCAAGAUUAUUAUUGACUAAUUGAAGGUGCUUAACUACAGGAUCUGAAAAGAACAGCAUUAUGCUAAAGUUAUAUGUAUAUAUAAUAUUUUGUUUUAUUGAAAAGAAGGGAUCCUAUAGACAAGUAAAUACACCAUAAAAUUGUUUAAUAUUAUUUUUAGGUAGUACACACCUUUGUUGUUUAUGCAUUGAUUUACAAAAUUACACUUUUUUUUGAUGGUUUGAAAAACUUCCAACUUAUCCUUAUAAAUUGAUUCAGUUUUAAAUGCAAUUGGAAACAUUUUUGAAUAUAUUUGAAGCUUAAUCAAUUACCUACAUGAAACAUAUCUCUAGGUUUUUUAUUAGCUUGAAUAGGACAAUUAAUUUUUUUUAUGUAUUUUAAAUUUAUGGAGAGUUUUUUUAUUUUUUUUAUUUUCUAUUUUUAUAUUUAUAGAUUUAAUUCAGUCUUUGACUAUUUUACAAAAUAAAACUACUACUUCUAAUUUUAAGAGUUUUAAUGAUUUGGAAGCAAAAUUUUGGAUAAAUUAGUGUUGAUAAAGAAGUUUAUAUUUUAAUAUUUUAUCUUUGUGAAAGAAACAAGGAAUUAUAUAUAUAGAGAGUUGAUAAAGUCACACCCCUUUUGUCAUUUCAUGAUUGAUUUUGCCCAUUUCUUGUAUUUGUCUCCCAUUUCUAGUUCUUAUUUCCAUUCCCCUACCUCUUUCUAUGCCCCUCAUUUGAAAUCUUUAUGCCUCCAUUUUUAUCCUCUAUUUCCAAUCCCAUGUCUCUAUUCUCUUCCUUCAUUCCU